GUGGCGACCGGCGCACGGGUGAGUAACGCGUAUGCAACCUUUAUAGCAGAGGGGAAUAACCCGGCGAAAGUCGGACUCCUUUCGCAUAAAACAGGGACACCGCAUGGUGAUAUUUGUUAAAGAAAUUCGCUGAUAGAUGGGCAUGCGUUCCAUUAGGUAGUUGGUGAGGUAACGGCUCACCAAGCCGACGAUGGAUAGGGGAACUGAGAGGUUGGUCCCCCACACUGGUACUGAGACACGGACCAGACUCCUACGGGAGGCAGCAGUGAGGAAUAUUGGUCAAUGGGCGAGAGCCUGAACCAGCCAAGUCGCGUGAAGGAAGAAGGAUCUAUGGUUCGUAAACUUCUUUUGCAGGGGAAUAAAGUGCAGGACGUGUCCUGUUUUGUAUGUACCCUGAGAAUAAGGAUCGGCUAACUCCGUGCCAGCAGCCGCGGUAAUACGGAGGAUCCGAGCGUUAUCCAGAUUUAUUGGGUUUAAAGGGUGCGUAGGUGGUUUGAUAAGUCAGCGGUGAAAGUUUGCAGCUUAACUGUAAAAAUGCCGUUGAAACUGUCGGACUUGAAGUGUAAAAUGAGGUAAGCGGAAUGCGUGGUGUAGCGGUGAAAUGC
rnacentral:rRNA from 1 species